rnacentral:lncRNA from 1 species
AGUGGUGCGGCCCGCGGUCCCCCCGGUCGGCGGUGGUAGCGACCGGUGGCAGCGCGCUCGGUCGGGCGCGGGGCCGGAGCGGGGCCGGAGCGGGGCCGGAGCGGGGCCAUGACGCUCUUCGGCAGCGGGGACCCGGGCUGGAGAUAUUUGGAUAUGUCCAGGGAGUCCAAGCUGAGCCGGGCCAGGCUGGGCCAGAAGCGUCAGCACAGCAGCAGCCUGUACCACAGUAACUGUGACCUGGACUAUGAUCUCUACAGGGAUGACUUCCCAUACCGGGUAUACGAGUACCAGAAGAUCCCCCCACUCAUUAACUGCAUCCCAGUCAAGACCAGGCGGACUCACUCGAGAGCAGGAAGCAAGAGCAGCCUGAGUCCCCAGCCUGGGACAAGGAGCAGCACUAGCUCAUCCACAGGACGGACAAAGUGUAAGUGCAACAGGGCUGGGAGGAAGAGAAGCA